rnacentral:sRNA from 1 species
GCGUCGGUGUCGGCAGGUAGUCCGCGA